rnacentral:tRNA from 1 species
UCUGAGUAGUUUAAUUUAGAAUUAUAGCUUGUGGUGCUAUAGGUGGGUUACCCCUUGGAUC